rnacentral:misc_RNA from 1 species
AUGGGUGCCCCGACGUUGCCCCCUGCCUGGCAGCCCUUUCUCAAGGACCACCGCAUCUCUACAUUCAAGAACUGGCCCUUCUUGGAGGGCUGCGCCUGCACCCCGGAGCGGAUGGCCGAGGCUGGCUUCAUCCACUGCCCCACUGAGAACGAGCCAGACUUGGCCCAGUGUUUCUUCUGCUUCAAGGAGCUGGAAGGCUGGGAGCCAGAUGACGACCCCAUGAGAGAGCUCUGUUAGCAGAAUGAAAAAAUUGGAAGCCAGAUUCAGGGAGGGACUGGAAGCAAAAGAAUUUCUGUUCGAGGAAGAGCCUGAUGUUUGCCAGGGUCUGUUUAACUGGACAUGAAGAGGAAGGCUCUGGACUUUCCUCCAGGAGUUUCAGGAGAAAGGCAAAGGAAACCAACAAUAAGAAGAAAGAAUUUGAGGAAACUGCGGAGAAAGUGCGCCGUGCCAUCGAGCAGCUGGCUGCCAUGGAUUGAGGCCUCUGGCCGGAGCUGCCUGGUCCCAGAGUGGCUGCACCACUUCCAGGGUUUAUUCCCUGGUGCCACCAGCCUUCCUGUGGGCCCCUUAGCAAUGUCUUAGGAAAGGAGAUCAACAUUUUCAAAUUAGAUGUUUCAACUGUGCUCUUGUUUUGUCUUGAAAGUGGCACCAGAGGUGCUUCUGCCUGUGCAGCGGGUGCUGCUGGUAACAGUGGC